CGUAGGGCGCGAGCGUUAAUCGGAAUUACUGGGCGUAAAGUGUGCGCAGGCGGCCGCGCAAGUCGAGUGUGAAAGCCCCGAGCUUAACUUGGGAACUGCGCUCGAAACUACGUGGCUGGAGUGUGGCAGAGGAAGGUGGAAUUCCAGGUGUAGCGGUGAAAUGCGUAGAGAUCUGGAGGAACACCGAUGGCGAAGGCAGCCUUCUGGGCCAACACUGACGCUCAUGCACGAAAGCGUGGGGAGCAAACAGGAUUAGAUACCCUGGUAGUCCACGCCCUAAACGAUGAUGACUAGUUGUUGGAGGAGUUAAAUCCUUUAGUAACGCAGCUAACGCGUGAAGUCAUCCGCCUGGGGAGUACGGUCGCAAGAUUA
rnacentral:rRNA from 1 species